AUUUACAAAUAUUCAAACGUGAUGAAAUCGUUCAUCACCUUAUUUGUGACGGAAUAAAACAAAAUGCAGUAAACUCUCUAGUUGCGUCCAUCUCUGAAAAGAACAAAAUAUUUCUAAGACUAAUAUCGGUACUGAAAAUCACUUUCGCACAAGAUCGAAAUCAUAUGGAACCUUGAGAAGUAGAGAGGAUCACCUCAAAAACAGUAUUGUCAGUGUAUGGUGUCUAAAACACAGGACUAGUCACCUGGUGAAGUACAGGUGACAUAAUUUUUAGAAUUCAGGAAGUUACUUGAUGGCAAAAUCUUGAAGAUAUAUAGAUUACAUUGGGAAGCCAGUCAGAACGUUCUCUUCCUUUUUUAAACCUCUUGCUACUGAACAAGGACCAAAAUUCUUAUGCAUAUAUGACAUGUUCUUGUAUUGCCUUCUUUAUAGAUCUUAAUAAAUUUUAAAACAAA
rnacentral:lncRNA from 1 species